AUUGAACGCUGGCGGCAUGCUUUACACAUGCAGGUCGAACGGUAACAGGUUAAGCUGACGAGUGGCGAACGGGUGAGUAAUGCAUCGGAACGUGCCCGAUCGUGGGGGAUAACGCAGCGAAAGCUGCGCUAAUACCGCAUACGAUCUGAGGAUGAAAGCGGGGGACCGUAAGGCCUCGCGCGAUCGGAGCGGCGGCUGUCAGAUUAGGUAGUUGGUGGGGUAAAGGCCCACCAAGCCGACGAGCUGUAGCUGGUCUGAGAGGACGACCAGCCACACUGGGACUGAGACACGGCCCAGACUCCUACGGGAGGCAGCAGUGGGGAGUUUUGGACAAUGGGCGAAAGCCUGAUCCAGCAAUGCCGCGUGCAGGAAGAAGGCCUUCGGGUUGUAAACUGCUUUUGUACGGAGCGAAAAGGUCCUUUCUAAUACAAGGGGCUCAUGACGGUACCGUAAGAAUAAGCACCGGCUAACUACGUGCCAGCAGCCGCCGUAA
rnacentral:rRNA from 1 species